rnacentral:pre_miRNA from 14 species
AGGAAGGAAGUGAAAGAUCCUCAAAGGGAGACCCUCACUCAAGUCUCGGGAAGUUGCGGACCCCAGACACACAAGAGACC